rnacentral:rRNA from 1 species
AUGAACGCUGGCGGCGUGCCUAAUACAUGCAAGUCGAGCGAACAGACGAGGAGCUUGCUCCUCUGACGUUAGCGGCGGACGGGUGAGUAACACGUGGAUAACCUACCUAUAAGACUGGGAUAACUUCGGGAAACCGGAGCUAAUACCGGAUAAUAUAUUGAACCGCAUGGUUCAAUAGUGAAAGACGGUUUUGCUGUCACUUAUAGAUGGAUCCGCGCCGCAUUAGCUAGUUGGUAAGGUAACGGCUUACCAAGGCAACGAUGCGUAGCCGACCUGAGAGGGUGAUCGGCCACACUGGAACUGAGACACGGUCCAGACUCCUACGGGAGGCAGCAGUAGGGAAUCUUCCGCAUUGGGCGAAAGCCUGACGGAGCAACGCCGCGUGAGUGAUGAAGGUCUUCGGAUCGUAAAACUCUGUUAUUAGGGAAGAACAAAUGUGUAAGUAACUAUGCACGUCUUGACGGUACCUAAUCAGAAAGCCACGGCUAACUACGU